CCUACGGGCUGCAGCAGUGGGGAAUAUUGGACAAUGGGCGAAAGCCUGAUCCAGCCAUGCCGCGUGUGUGAAGAAGGCCUUCGGGUUGUAAAGCACUUUCAGUGGGGAAGAAAGCCUUGGGGCUAAUACCCUCGAGGAAGGACAUCACCCACAGAAGAAGCACCGGCUAACUCCGUGCCAGCAGCCGCGGUAAUACGGAGGGUGCGAGCGUUAAUCGGAAUUACUGGGCGUAAAGCGCGCGUAGGCGGUCUGAUAAGCCGGUUGUGAAAGCCCCGGGCUCAACCUGGGAACGGCAUCCGGAACUGUCAGGUUAGAGUGCAGGAGAGGAAGGUAGAAUUCCCGGUGUAGCGGUGAAAUGCGUAGAGAUCGGGAGGAAUACCAGUGGCGAAGGCGGCCUUAUGGACUGACACUGACGCUGAGGUGCGAAAGCGUGGGUAGCAAACAGGAUUAGAUACCCCGGUAGUC
rnacentral:rRNA from 1 species